rnacentral:rRNA from 1 species
CCCUUAGAUGUUCUGGGCCGCACGCGUGCUACACUGAGUGGAUCAGCGGGUCAGGUUGCGCGAAAGCGUUUCCUAAUCUUUAAAUCCGCUCGUGAUGGGGAUUGACGGUUGCAAUUUUCUGUCAUGAACGAGGAAUACCUUGUAAGCGCGGGUCAUCAUCCCGCGCUGAAUACGUCCCUGCCCUUUGUACACACCGCCCGUCGCUCCUACCGAUUGAGCGGUCCGGUGAAGACUCAGGAGAUGGGCGCGUGCUUGGUUCGCCAACUGCGCUGCCUGCCAAAUUUGUCUAAACCUUAUCGCUUAGAGGAAGGAGAAGUCGUAACA